UAAUAGCGCUUAUCAAAAAGCGCUAUUAUUUAUAUAAAAUAACAGCACUUUAUUUUAUAGUGCUAUCAAAAGAAGCAAAUUUAAUUUCCAACUUAAUAUAAUACAACAUUUUUCUUUAAACGUUGUGAUUAUUGAUUAAUAGCUAUAAUAAUUUAUAAAAACAAAAACAAAAAGCCAAAACAAAAUUAAAUAACUCAAACCCUCAUUCAGCACCGCCUACAUUUAUUUCCCACGUUCUCCAGCUUCCUUUUUUCUCCCACCACGACUUCCACAAUUAACGAAACCCUGCUGCGUGUGGUUGAAUUACCAAUCCAAGUCAAGCCUUUGAAUAAAUCUUAAUCGUCUUGAAUUCUUCCAAAGAGAUUUGCUCAAAUGGGUUCAAGAUUCCAGUAAAAUUUAUCAGAUUAGAUGGCAACCAUUACCACAAACUUUAUUUCAGUCUCUUCCUCGUCCUAAUCACUGCAGUCGAGUCUCGCUUUGGUUAAGUCCCAACAUUGUUCUUUCUUAAGGAAGAAUCUGACUUUGAACAUAUCUUGUUAAGGACGUCCUGGUUUCCGAGUUGUGGCUGUUUCAAUGGCCCCUCAGACUCAGGAGAUAACUUCUUUCCUGCUCCAGAAGGAGAGUGGAUUUCUUCAUUUUGUCAAGUGUCAUGGACUCGGCAACGACUUUCUUUUGGUUGAUAAUAGAGACUCAAUGGAGCCUAAGGUAACCCCUGAGCACAAGUAGUGAAGUUGUGUGACCGGAAUUUUGGAGUGGGUGCUCAUGGGCUGAUUUUUACAACGCCCGAAACUAAUGGCACUGAUUAUACUAUGAGGAUUUUUAAUUGUGAUGGAAGUGAGCCAAAGGUGUGUACUAUCUAAGAAAAUUAUACUUCUUAUACCAGAUUAUGAGAAUGAAAUAUGUGUGGCAAUGGAGUGAGAUGCUUUUCACAUACAUUGCCGAGAUUGAGAACUUACAUAGGAAACACAGUCUUCUCGCCGUUAAAUGGCUCACUCAUGUCCUGGUAACUGGGGGUGCUUGCUUUAUUGGAUCCCAUGCAACACUAAGACUUCUCAAGCUCCUAUCGUGUGACAAUUGUGUACUUUUCAUGAUCGCAAUGUUCUGAAUUAUGAUCAAGAACAAAUUGAUGAAGUCAGAGCUCAAUUGACGCGUCAUGCUCUUCUCGUGUGUAUAUUGUGGUGGAUUACUUGUGUUUUUCGUCUGGAAAUUGUGUACAAUGUUCUAAUUUUAAUGUGUUGAUUUGAAAAUAAAAGAAGUACUAUAUGACGACUUCUUUCUUUCUUCUAGCAGUGUGUUGAUAACAUUGCAUACGAAUUUAAGUUAUGAGACAUCGAGACUAGACCUGUCAAACGGGUCGGUCGGGUCGGGUUGUAAAAAAUUACUUUCGGGUUCGGGUUGAAUCGGGUCGGUCACUUUCGGGUUCGGGUUUGCAAAUGCUUGUUCGGGACCCAUAACUUUCGGGUUCGGGUUGACCCAACGGGUUGAGAGAUUUUAAAACGCGCAUUAUAUUUUCAUUAAUUUAGGUUAUAAAUAU